UACGUAGGGUGCAAGCGUUGUCCGGAAUUAUUGGGCGUAAAGAGCUCGUAGGUGGCCUGUCGCGUCGGCUGUGAAAACUCGGGGCUCAACUCCGAGCUUGCAGCCGAUACGGGCAGGCUAGAGUUCGGCAGGGGAGACUGGAAUUCCUGGUGUAGCGGUGAAAUGCGCAGAUAUCAGGAGGAACACCGGUGGCGAAGGCGGGUCUCUGGGGCCGAUACUGACACUGAGGAGCGAAAGCGUGGGGAGCGAACAGG
rnacentral:rRNA from 1 species